GGGAAUGGUUAGGUCCCGGUGGGCCUCCUGGUCUUCAAAAUCAGUGUCGGGUUGAUAAGAUCCGUGGUGGGUUCGACUCCCAUCCAUUCUCG
rnacentral:tRNA from 1 species